rnacentral:rRNA from 1 species
UACGUAGGUGGCAAGCGUUGUCCGGAUUUACUGGGCGUAAAGAGCGCGCAGGCGGUCGUUUAAGUCGAAUGUGAAAGCCCCCGGCUCAACUGGGGAGGGUCAUUCGAUACUGAUCGACUUGAAGGCAGGAGAGAGAAGUGGAAUUCCCGGUGUAGUGGUGAAAUGCGUAGAUAUCGGGAGGAACACCAGUGGCGAAGGCGACUUCUUGGCCUGUUCUUGACGCUGAGGCG